rnacentral:rRNA from 1 species
AUGCGGACCUCAUAAAGUGCGUCAUAGUCCGGAUUGGUGUAUGCAACUUGACUCCAUGAAGUCGGAAUCGGAGUAAUUGUGGAUUAGAAUGCCACGGUGAAUACGUUCCCGGGCCUUGACACACCGCCUGUCACACCAUGGGAGUGGGUUGCAAAAGAAGUAGGUAGCUUAACUUUCGGGAGGCGCUUACCAAUUUUGUAAGAAUUUUUUCUAC